rnacentral:tRNA from 1 species
GACGCGGUGGCCUAAUGGUUAGCGCGCUGGACUACGGACCGAGCGAUCCGGGUUCGAGUCCUGGCCGGGAUGACU